rnacentral:rRNA from 1 species
GCCUAGCCGUAAACAUUGAUAGAUCUAUCCGCCUGGAUAUUACGAGCAUUAGCUUGAAACCCAAAGGACUUGGCGGUACUUUAGAUCCCCCUAGAGGAGCCUGCUCUAUAACCGAUAACCCCCGUUAAACCUCACCCUCCCUUGUCCGCCUAUAUACCACCGUCGUCAGCUCACCCUGUGAAGGUCUAAUAGUAAGCAAAAUUGGCACAGCCCAGAACGUCAGGUCGAGGUGUAGCGCAUGGGAGGGGAAGAAGUGGGCUACAUUCGCUCGGGAAUUGAAAGAAGGAGGAUUUAGCAGUAAGUGGAAAAUAGAGUGUUCCACUGAAAUCGGCUCUGAAGUGCGU